GAUGAAGAACGCAGCGAAAUGCGAUAAGUAGUGUGAAUUGCAGAAUUCAGUGAAUCAUCGAAUCUUUGAACGCACAUUGCGCCCCAUGGUAUUCCGUGGGGCAUGCCUGUUCGAGCGUCAUUUACCCCCUCAAGCUCCGCUUGGUGUUGGGCGUCUGUCCCGCUUCGCGCGCGGACUCGCCCCAAAGGUAUUGGCAGCGGUCGUGCCAGCUUCUCGCGCAGCACAUUGCGCUUCUCGAGGCACCGGUGGGCCCGCGUCCAUCAAGCUCACGCCCCCAGUUUGACCUCGGAUCAGGUAGGGAUACCCGCUGAACUUAAGCAUAUCAAUAAGCGGAGGA
rnacentral:misc_RNA from 1 species